rnacentral:rRNA from 1 species
UACGGGGGGAGCAAGCGUUGUUCGGAUUUACUGGGCGUAAAGGGCUCGUAGGCGGCCAACUAAGUCGGAUGUGAAAUCCCCAGGCUUAACUUGGGAACUGCAUCCGAUACUGGAUGGCUUGAAUCCGGGAGAGGGAUGCAGAAUUCCAGGUGUAGCGGUGAAAUGCGUAGAUAUCUGGAGGAAUACCGGUGGCGAAGGCGGCAUCCUGGACCGGCAUUGACGCUAAGGCGCGAAAGCGUGGGGAGCGAACAGG